UGGGGAAUAUUGCACAAUGGGCGCAAGCCUGAUGCAGCCAUGCCGCGUGUGUGAAGAAGGCCUUCGGGUUGUAAAGCACUUUCAGCGGGGAGGAAGGCGAUAAGGUUAAUAACCUUGUCGAUUGACGUUACCCGCAGAAGAAGCACCGGCUAACUACGUGCCAGCAGCCGCGGUAAUACGUAGGUGGCAAGCGUUGUCCGGAUUUAUUGGGCGUAAAGCGAGCGCAGGCGGUUUCUUAAGUCUGAUGUGAAAGCCCCCGGCUCAACCGGGGAGGGUCAUUGGAAACUGGGAGACUUGAGUGCAGAAGAGGAGAGUGGAAUUCCAUGUGUAGCGGUGAAAUGCGUAGAUAUAUGGAGGAACACCAGUGGCGAAGGCGGCUCUCUGGUCUGUAACUGACGCUGAGGCUCGAAAGCGUGGGGAGCAAACAGG
rnacentral:rRNA from 1 species